rnacentral:ncRNA from 5 species
CGUAGGUGAACCUGCGGAAGGAU